CGACUCCACGAAGUUGGAUUCGCUAGUAAUCGCGCAUCAGCCAUGGCGCGGUGAAUACGUUCCCGGGCCUUGUACACACCGCCCGUCAAGCCAUGGGAGCCGGGGGGCGCCUGAAGUCCGGGACCGCGAGGACCGGCCUAGGGCGAAACUGGUAACUGGGGCUAAGUCGUAACAAGGUACC
rnacentral:rRNA from 1 species